rnacentral:lncRNA from 1 species
GCAAAGGCAGUUACACUAUCAACAAAUGGAGUUUACAAAAUACAAAUUAGACAUCACCUCAAAUAGGAUAUAGGGGAUGAAUACAACUCUUUAUUUGCUCUCUAACAUUGGACCCUCAAAUAUGCAAGAUUUUCUCAUUGUAGAAAGCCUCCAAAAGUUCCAAGAGAAUCUUUCAAGAAGUGCUUCCCUAUUUCUUGACCUCUCCCCUUUUUUUCUCUCUUAUUCCACAUACUCACUCAUCUAACCUAAACCAACUCCUUGUAUGUGAGUAACCAGCAAGAUAAAUAUCAACUCUUGAAUCAUGUAAUGGUAGACCAUUCAAGCAUAAGAAAUGACCUCAUUUUCCUUCAUGAUCAAUGAGUUGAUAUCCUCCUUUAUCAUAGACUUGUUCUAUGAUAUGUUGUCCUUCAUACUUGGGCUCAAGUUUGCCUUUAGUGCAACUGCUGAUGAUGAUGGGUCUUCUAAUCACCAAGACUGCAUCUCCAGGCUUGAAGACUCUUUCCUUGACCAGCUUGUUAUAAGUACCAAAUAUUCUCUUUCGAGAGCUUCAAG